rnacentral:rRNA from 1 species
GCGGAGGAAAAGAAACUAACAAGGAUUCCCCUAGUAACGGCGAGUGAAGCGGGAUGAGCUCAAAUUUGAAAUCUGGCGGUCUAAGGCCGUCCGAGUUGUAAUCUAGAGAGGUGUUUUCCGUGCCGGACCGUGUACAAGUCCCUUGGAACAGGGCGUCAUAGAGGGUGAGAAUCCCGUCCAUGACACGGACUCCCGGUGCUCUGUGAUACACCUUCGAAGAGUCGAGUUGUUUGGGAAUGCAGCUCAAAACGGGUGGUAAAUUCCAUCUAAAGCUAAAUACAGGCGAGAGACCGAUAGCGAACAAGUACCGUGAGGGAAAGAUGAAAAGAACUUUGGAAAGAGAGUUAAACAGUACGUGAAAUUGUUGAAAGGGAAACGCUUGAAGUCAGUCGCGUCCGCAGGGACUCAGCCUUGCUUCUGCUUGGUGCACUUCUCUGUGGAUGGGCCAGCAUCGAUUUUGGUCGCCGGAAAAGGGCGGGAGGAAUGUGGCAGCUUUCGCUGUGUUAUAGCCUCUCGUCGUACACGGUGGUCGGGAUCGAGGACUGCAGCACGCCUUCGGUCGGGGUUCGCCCACGCCACGUGCUUAGGAUGCUGGCGUA